GAUUGCCGUCUUCCUAAUACUUGCAAGUCGAGCGCUGAUCCUUCAGGUGGACGAGCGGGGAACCCUUUUAAGUAACUGGUGAGUGACCUGCCCUCUUCUCUGGGUUGGCCUGGGACACUGGAUCUUAUACCUAAUACGACCUUCGGCCGCAUGGUUGUUGGUGGAAAGUUUUUCGGUUUAUGACGGGCCCGCGGCCUAGCAUCUUGUUGGGGGGGUGAUGGCCUACCAAGGCGACGACCGGUAGCCGGCCUGAUAGGGUGACCGGGCACACUGGCACUGACACACGGCCCACACUCCUACGGUCCUACCGGAGGGGAAUAUUGCGCAAUGGGCGAAAGCCUGACACUCGACACCGCGUGGCCAUGACGGCCUUCAAGUUCUCACCUCUUUCGCUUCUUUUAUUUUAACGUAACCAUACCUUUUUUAGAAACACCGACCAACCACGAUCCAUCAGCCGCGGUAAUACCCAUGGCGCCAGCGUUGUCCGGACUUAUUGGGCAUACAUAGCCCGGAUGCAGUGUGUCACGUGGGUGCUGAAAACCUGAUGCUUAUCCCUGGGGUUGCCGCCGAUACUAACUUCACUUUUGCUCGGCAUGCUAUACUGCAUUACCUUUUGGAACGUUGAAGUGCUAUGACAUGUAUCGUUGAACUGCCUCCACUUCCCCCUUAUUUAAUUA
rnacentral:rRNA from 1 species